GCCACAUAGCUCAGUCAGUAGAGCACGAGACUUUUAAUCGUGGGGUCGUGGGUUCGAGCCCAAUGUUGGGUG